rnacentral:lncRNA from 1 species
UGCCUUUGCUUGUGUAGGGUAUUCACAGCAAAGAGCUGCAAUUUGUUGCGAGACCGGCUGCCCUUGAAAUGCACCGACCUUUGUCUAAAGGUGGAUUGCAUUUUUAUGGAUGCUAACAACAAAAGCAAGGAGAUACAGAUGACGGUCUAUGAAACUAAUCCCAGGAGGAAGAGAAUGAUUCUUCUGAAAGGCAGCUUGAUUGCCUUUUGGCAUGAUUUGGAGGACAAAGGUCAUGGAUAUGUCAUUGCUCCCCGGAGUGCCUUGUGGACCAGAAUAGAGGGAGACCCUCUGCCCCAGUGCUGUCGCACCUUGCUUGUUCUACAGCACGGACCACUCUUUCAUCUGCCCUGUUCCAGUAGCCAUCUGUGUACAUCUUGGACCAUUUGCACUUCAUUCUCAUCUGCAAACAUGCCAUUAGCUUCAAUGGAUGGCUUGAAUGGAUUGGUCAGAUCUGAGAUGGUGCAGGAGUGAAGAAGUGUAGGAGAUAAUAAUUAUAUAGAGUGCAAGUGACUAAACCACUUAUAACAAGGGGUGGAGAGCAUGUGACCCUUCAGUUGUGAUUCGUCUGCCACUUCCAUCAACCUGCACUGGCACUGGUGAAGGAUUAUGGGAGUUGCAAUAUCAUAACAUUUAUAGGACUAUACCUUCCCUGUCUCUGAUCUACACCAAACAUUUUAAGUCAGUAGUAUUAACUCACAAAGAUUGCCCUUACUGAAGCCCAUAAGGUCAAGAAUGUGGGGCUGAGACUUAGGAGAACCAGGUUCAAAUCCUCACCUAGCCAUGAAACUCACUAAAUGAUCUUGGGACAGUUGUACUGCCCGACGGGGAUGUACAGAGAAGAAAGUGAGGAAGAAGGAGAGCUCUGUAUACUUAUUGGAGGAAAGGUCAUAUAAACAAAUGUGUGAGACAGACAAACAUACAAAUACUUAACAGUGCUCAUCUACAUGUCUGCUUGGAAGUACACUGAAUAAUAUUAAAAUCAUUGACAGGUGAAGUGAAUAGCAUUGAUUAUAUUGUUACAGUGGCACCUGUCAAGGAGUGGGAUAUAUUAGGCAGAGUCAUUUUUGGAAUUUCAUGUGUCGGAAGCAGGAAAUACGGGGAAGGCGAAAAGAUCUGAGUGACUUUGACAAGGGCCAAGUGGUGCUGGCUAGAUAACUGGGUCAGAGCUUCGCCCAAAUGGCAAGUCUUGUGAGGUGUUUCUGGGAUGCCAUGGUCAGUACCUACCAAAAGUGGUGCAAGUAAGGACAACCGGCGUCAGGGUUGUGGGGACCCAAGGCUCAUUGAUGCACACGGGGAGCGAAGGCUAGCCCAUCUGGUCUGGUCAGACAGAAGAGCUACAAAGGGCUGAAAAGCCUAAUGCUGGCCAUGAUGGAAAGAUGUCAGAACACUCAGUGCAUCGUAGUUUGUGGCAUAUGGGGCUGCGUAGCCACAGACCAGUCAGCGUGCCCAUGAUGACCCCUGUCCAUUGCCA